AUACGGAGGGUGCAAGCGUUAUCCGGAAUCAUUGGGUUUAAAGGGUCCGUAGGCGGAUUGAUAAGUCAGAGGUGAAAUCCCACAGCUUAACUGUGGAACUGCCUUUGAUACUGUUAGUCUUGAGUUAUAUGGAAGUAGAUAGAAUGUGUAGUGUAGCGGUGAAAUGCAUAGAUAUUACACAGAAUACCGAUUGCGAAGGCAGUCUACUACGUAUAUACUGACGCUAAUGGACGAAAGCGUGGGGAGCGAACAGGAUUAGAUACCCUAGUAGUCC
rnacentral:rRNA from 1 species